rnacentral:rRNA from 1 species
GGCUCAGGAUGAACGCUAGCGGCAGGCUUAAUACAUGCAAGUCGUAGGGCAGCAGGUUUGUAGCAAUACAGAUGCUGGCGACCGGCAAACGGGUGCGGAACACGUACAGAACCUUCCUUUGAGCGGGGAAUAGCCCAGAGAAAUUUGGAUUGAUACCCCAUAGUAUAAUGAAGUGGCAUCACUUUAUUAUUAAAGAUUUAUCACUCGAAGAUGGCUGUGCGGCUGAUUAGGUAGUUGGCGGGGUAAAGGCCCACCAAGCCUGCGAUCAGUAACUGGUGUGAGAGCACGACCAGUCACACGGGCACUGAGACACGGGCCCGACUCCUACGGGAGGCAGCAGUAAGGAAUAUUGGUCAAUGGAGGCAACUCUGAACCAGCCAUGCCGCGUGGAGGAUGAAGGUCCUCUGGAUUGUAAACUUCUUUUAUAUGGGACGAAAAAAGGCUUUUCUAAGUCGUCUGACGGUACCAUAUGAAUAAGCACCGGCUAACUCCGUG